UUUUUUAUCACACAUCCUGACAGACAGACAUCGCAGCAAUUCAGGGUAACUGCCCCGAGGACACUUCGGCAAUCAGACAUCGAACCACCGGCCUGUCCUUCAGACAUUGCCAAGGGGAAGUGCCCACCAAUGUUGCCGGAUUUCUGCCAGUGCUCCCAACGUGAGAGUGUUCUCCCAUCAACCAACUAUGUUUUCCAAAGCCACCUGGAUAUGUGGUUGCAGACAUGAACUAUGUUGGAGACUUUGCCACGAGGCGGUGAAGGCUGCUGGGACGCGCGGACGGGGUCAUCAAUUGUGAUGGAGACACCCGUUUUCUGCUGGCUGAUGGAGCGACGAAUGAGGGUGUCGCUGGGG